GACGAACGCUGGCGGCGUGCCUAGUACAUGCAAGUUGAGCGAUGAAGAUUGGUGCUUGCACCAAUUUGAAGAGCAGCGAACGGGUGAGUAACGCGUGGGGAAUCUGCCUUUGAGCGGGGGACAACAUUUGGAAACGAAUGCUAAUACCGCAUAACAACUUUAAACAUAAGUUUUAAGUUUGAAAGAUGCAAUUGCAUCACUCAAAGAUGAUCCCGCGUUGUAUUAGCUAGUUGGUGAGGUAAAGGCUCACCAAGGCGAUGAUACAUAGCCGACCUGAGAGGGUGAUCGGCCACAUUGGGACUGAGACACGGCCCAAACUCCUACGGGAGGCAGCAGUAGGGAAUCUUCGGCAAUGGACGAAAGUCUGACCGAGCAACGCCGCGUGAGUGAAGAAGGUUUUCGGAUCGUAAAACUCUGUUGGUAGAGAAGAACGUUGGUGAGAGUGGAAAGCUCAUCAAGUGACGGUAACUACCCAGAAAGGGACGGCUAACUACGUG
rnacentral:rRNA from 1 species